GACAAUGAGUAAUGAGAAAAUUUACAAAUACCUAGAUAUCUAAUAUAUCACCUACAACAAUGUUUAUGUUAGAGAAAAAUAAAGAAGCAGUAAUGUCUUGUCAACUAAUUUGGAAUGGGGAAUAUGAUUUUAAGGUUGUUAAGGGGGAUUAUGACCAUAAUGUUGACUUUAAAAAGAGACAUGCACUUAUUAAUGGUGGCAGCUCAAGAGAACUCCAUGUCCACAUGUUAUAUGUUGCAUGUAUUAUAAAAAUUUGCAGCCUGUCAGAGGCUUCAAGCUUUGGGAUGAGACUAAUUCACCGCUAAUAGAUGUGAUCACCAAGAAACCAAGAAGACCAAAGAAAGUAAGAAGGAAGGCAAGAGAUGAGCAAAAAAAUUUAGAAAACUCUCAAGACAAGGCGUCAAGAUGAUAUGCUCCAUCUGCAAGUCUAAAGGCCAUAACAAGGUUGGUUGUCCACAAAAGGGCCAUACAUAAGGUGGAGGGGAUGGAAGUGGUAGGGGCAGAGGUGGAGGGACUAUAGGUGGUAGGGGCAGAGGUAGUGUUGGGAGAAGUGGAGGCAGAGCUACUAUUGGGAGAGGUGUUACACCUCCAAGUACUUCACAUAAUUCCUUUGUUACUAGUUUAAGGAGUUGUGGCAAUCUUGCUGGCAGUUGUGAUACAACAGCCGAAGCUCCUUCACAGUCAUCUCAUACAAGGGCUACCGAUAACAGACUUGAUGAAAUACCUCUACAAAGGCCUAUAGGAAAACUAAUGAUUGGUAUAUGAGUUUAUAUUAAUGAGAAAACAGGUCUAAUUAUUGAGAAGUUUAGGGGUCCUGGUGGAAGGAUUAUUACAAGACCAAAUGAGCUAAAAAGAUCAGGUGAAAUUACUGGUGAUUUAGGCUACAAGCCUAUUGAAAUAAAAUGGAAAAGUAAAGCAACAAUUACUAGAAGAUAGUUACAACAUCAAAGAGAUUUAUAAAGAAUGGCAAUGAGAAGAACAAUAGCAACUACGAAGUACUUCUUCUCAACAAAUAAACAACUCAACAACUUCACAAUAAGAGCAUUAGACCAUAUGGCAAUUGGUUCUGCCCAUUUUGGUUUAUAUUUGGAUGUAAUCUUAGUUGCAAUUGCUCAGUAAAUGUGAACUUAAUUUACCAAUUUAUAUAUUCUACAUUUUAUAAGACCUUAUUUUACUAGUUUAAUGUAAUUUCAAGUUUCUAUUA